AUCCAGCUGACGAGUCCCAAAUAGGACGAAAUCAGCAUCCUGGAU
rnacentral:hammerhead_ribozyme from 1 species